rnacentral:rRNA from 1 species
GUGGGGAAUAUUGGACAAUGGGCGAAAGCCUGAUCCAGCCAUGCCGCGUGUGUGAAGAAGGUCUUCGGAUUGUAAAGCACUUUAAGUUGGGAGGAAGGGCAGUAAGUUAAUACCUUGCUGUUUUGACGUUACCGACAGAAUAAGCACCGGCUAACUUCGUGCCAGCAGCCGCGGUAAUACGAAGGGUGCAAGCGUUAAUCGGAAUUACUGGUCGUAAAGCGCGCGUAGGUGGUUUUGUAAGUAGGAGGUGAAAUCCCCGGGCUCAACCUGGGAACUGCCUCCAAAACGUCAUGACUAGAGUACGGUAGAGGGUAGUGGAAUUUCCUGUGUAGCGGUGAAAUGCGUAGAUAUAGGAAGGAACACCAGUGGCGAAGGCGACUACCUUGACUGAUACUGACACUGAGGUGCGACAGCGUGGGGAGCAAACAGGAUUAGAAACCCGGGUAGUCC